ensembl:lncRNA
CGAAAGUGAAGCUAUCUGUCGGUUGCCUACGGAAAGUCCCGACAUCGACGCGCCUGUAUGCCAGUCUUACAUGAAAAGGUCUCCAUUUAUUCUUGAAGAACAUACCUUUAAGAAAACACACCACAGACCCCUGAAAAUGAGUUCCCCUAAUGAUGAUGAAGAUAAAGAUGAGAGAUAUCAGGAAGAAAGUUCCAGAUCACCUGAUCCCAGCGUCGUGUCUAUGAAGAAUGACAAGUCAAUAGAUUUUCCAAUAACGUUUCAAGGGGAAGAGCAAAAAAGGUGAGUAAUGUCUCAUGAGCAAUUUUAUGUACUUCACUCCAGUUUUUGAAUUAAUUUUGAAAGAGAUAGUUCAUAAAUUAAAAUGUACUAAAUAAGAACAACUGUAUUUAUUGAUAUUAUUUACAAACUUCAAGAAAGACGUUUUUCAUAUUGAUUUAUAAUUAGCCCAUUUAAACGAG